GAUGAACGCUGGCGGCGUGCCUAAUACAUGCAAGUCGAGCGAACGGACGAGAAGCUUGCUUUUCUGAUGUUAGCGGCGCACGGGUGAGUAACACGUGGAUACCCUACCUAUAAGACUGGGAUAACUUCGGGAAACCGGAGCUAAUACCGGAUAAUAUUUUGAACCGCAUGGUUCAAAAGUGAAAGACGGUCUUGCUGUCUCUUAUAGAUGGAUCCGCGCUGCAUUAGCUAGUUGGUAAGGUAACGGCUUACCAAGGCAACGAUGCAUAGCCGACCUGAGAGGGUGAUCGGCCACACUGGAACGUGGCCACGGUCCAGACUCCUACGGGAGGCAGCAGUAGGGAAUCUUCCGCAAAGGGCGAAAGCCUGACGGAGCAACGCCGCGUGAGUGAUGAAGGUCUUCGGAUCGUAAAACUGUGUUAUUAGGGAAGAACAUAUGUGUAAGUAACUGUGCACAUCUUGACGGUACCUAAUCAGAAAGCCACGGCUAACUACGUG
rnacentral:rRNA from 1 species